UGAGCAACCUGCCCUUGACCCUGGAAUAACAGCUGGAAACAGCUGCUAAUACCGGAUAUGACCUCCGAUGGCAUCAUCUGGAGGUGGAAAGCUCCGACGGUCAAGGAUGGGCUCGCGGCCUAUCAGCUUGUUGGUGAGGUAACGGCUCACCAAGGCUUCGACGGGUAGCCGGCCUGAGAGGGCGACCGGCCACACGUGGGACUGAGAUACCGGCCCAGACCUCGUAACCGGGGAGG
rnacentral:rRNA from 1 species